rnacentral:rRNA from 1 species
UACGUAGGGUGCAAGCGUUAAUCGGAAUUACUGGGCGUAAAGCGUGCGCAGGCGGUUUUGUAAGUCUGUCGUGAAAGCCCCGGGCUCAACCUGGGAAUUGCGAUGGAGACUGCAAGGCUUGAAUCUGGCAGAGGGGGGUAGAAUUCUACGUGUAGCAGUGAAAUGCGUAGAGAUGUGGAGGAACACCGAUGGCGAAGGCAGCCCCCUGGGUCAAGAUUGACGCUCAUGCACGAAAGCGUGGGGAGCAAACAGG